rnacentral:sRNA from 22 species
AUCAAUCCACCACUCACUCACGCACGGCAGGAGCGGGGAAACCAGGUAAGUCGCCGUCCGGUCACCACGCCGGAGCGGCUCGGGGUGAAGCCGCGUCCUCGGACGCGGCCGGGCAUCUCCAGCCCGAACCCGACAGCUCACCUCGCAGGCGCCGGAGAGGAAAUUC